AUAGGCCCUAUCCACACACAGGGCAUAGUACUUCACAGGCAAUUUAUAAACGUGUAUUUCUUACAGAAAGGUAAGGAAGAAGUAAGCAUAUGAGGAAAGAAGAAAGGGGCGAAGAAUCAACCCUGAAUUAACACUCACAGAGAAAAAGAACUGAGAGAAAUUUCUGCUUAUUUGUGGAAGGAAACACAAGUUUGAACAUCAUGGCUGUUGUAGCAUGAAGGACAUGGUGCUGAAUUUAGAUUAUUGCUGUCAGGAGUAAUCAAAGACCCUCGAAUUUCAUCUCAAAGAAGAAUAUAG
rnacentral:lncRNA from 10 species